AGAGGCUGUAGGUCCCGUGCUUU
rnacentral:miRNA from 1 species